AACGCAAGUGGAUUCAAAUGCAUCAAAUUUCUAUGUUGGUGCGGUUUGUGAUACUGAAGCUGACAAGUAAAUCAUAACUACCGGUAAAAGAAAACAAAAAUACUGUACCAAUAGAUGGUUAAAGCCCCAUUUGUUUUGGAGGAAGUUUACAUGUGUCUCCUCUCCUUUGCGCAUGCGCAAAGCAGUUCAAGCGGCACAUACAAAACAAGUUAGAGGAUAAAGGGGCGAAUGGAACGGCCACAGACUGUGCAUCUAUCUUCCAAAAGGUCAACUUUGAUGCAAAUAACGUUUACGGAAUGUGGGAGGAAACCAGAAUACCCAGAGAAAACCCAUGCAAGCACGGGGAGAACAUGCAAACUGCACACAGGAAGGCCG